rnacentral:misc_RNA from 1 species
GAAAAUGACGAAAGAGUUAAAGAAGAGAGAGAUACUUACAAUGCUGCUCUCAAAGCGGCUAAAACUGUUCUAGAGGGAGAAGUUGCUCGGACAGAUGUGGAAACAGAUUAUGACCAACCAAGAAAGAAAAAAAGAACAAAAAAUAUAUAUCCUCUUCAGAAGAUGAAGAAUUAGACAAUCCUGCAUUACAUAUCCCUCGUGGUACAAGCAGUGAAAGAGUACCUGCUCCAAAUUCUCUUCCAAAUAAAUUCAAAGAACUUAUUAAAAAUAAAUCAGUGAAAAUAUCUACUAAACAGUCAAUAGAAAAAGACACAUCUAUAGGAAAAUCAUUAUCUUGUAAUGAAUCAAGUGUUAAGUCAUCAGGCCAUUUAAAGUUAACUUACCAUAACAUUACAUUAGAGGAAAAUCCGAUAAAGCAGCAUUCUUUACUAAAUGAGAGUCCUGUCGACAAAACACGAGCCUAAUGAGGACACAGAUGGCUAUGGUUUUGAUAUGGAGAUCUGAUCGAAAUUGGCGUCAAUCUGCGCGCAUUCUGCUAGCAUUUUGCUUACUGGGUUGUAAUACAGAAGUAUCGGACAAAGUGAUCGUAGAACCACUGCAGUCAAACAAGACAAAACCUCUUAGAAAAUUGCAUAGCAUCUCUCAACAUUUAGAUAAAGAGAACUAUCUUAAUUUUCCUAAUACUUCUCCAAAGUACUUGUCUCCUCAAUUGAGUACAGAUGAUGAUGAACAACCUACUACAUCAAGAUCAAAUAGUUCUACAAUGUCCAUGAGCACACUGCCUGUACAUAUGGAGCAGAAUCUCUUUAGGAGGAAACUAAAUGCUUCCCCAAAUAACAAAGCAAAGUCAUCUCUCUUUGAUGAAUAUGAUAGGAACAAUGAACAUAAAAAAAAUUUAUCUGAUACAAUGAACUGCGAAACUCUACAAGAUGAAAAUGAAGAUGAUGUUUUACAAAAAAAAAAAAAAGACUUUAAUGUCAGUAGAUAAUGAGAAAAAUCAAGCAUCUCCAAAUUCACCACAUCCCAAGGUUUAUCAAAUACAGAAUGCGAUUUACUGACAACAACAUUAAACCAUUUUAAGAAGCUUCAUGGACCGGUCGUAUCUAAUCUUGAUAGAGAUUUGCUUCGAGAUAUAUCAAGUAAACUGGAUAUAUUGCUGAUGAUCGAACGUUGCAUCUUAAAUGAAAUAUUUCCUGGUGAAGCUAUUGUAGAAGAACCCGAAAAUUGUCCUCCUCUUCCACUACGAGAUGAGAAGUCAUUUGAAGAAUUUCAGAGUUCAACGAACUUUUGAAGAAUAAAAUUGCGUACUCUCAGUUUGUCAGCUAUCUACAUGCACAUAUUGUUGAUGGUCCUGAUGAAUGGAGUGCUGCUACUUCUCUUAUGUCCAUCAUAUUGCACAAUGAUCUUGCAAGACUAAUUAGCUGGAAAGGAACUGGAGGAGUGAAAAUCUCUUUCUAUG